rnacentral:rRNA from 1 species
UACGUAGGGUGCAAGCGUUGUCCGGAAUUAUUGGGCGUAAAGAGCUCGUAGGCGGUCUGUUGCGUCUGCUGUGAAAACCCGGGGCUUAACCCUGGGCUUGCAGUGGAUACGGGCAGACUAGAGGCAGGUAGGGGAGAAUGGAAUUCCCGGUGUAGCGGUGAAAUGCGCAGAUAUCGGGAGGAACACCGGUGGCGAAGGCGGUUCUCUGGGCCUGACCUGACGCUGAGGAGCGAAAGCGUGGGGAGCGAACAGG